GUUCAUCUACCUCUCUUUCCUCCUGUGAACACUGUUUCCACCUUCUUAGGAGGGCAUCUCUCUUGGUGGAAGACUCAGGGUAAACAUUCAGGCUGAAAAGGAGCAGAACAGGUGGCAAAAGUGAUGCAGAUGCUACCCAGAGUACCAAUCGGGGGAAGCCAUGCUGACCCUCCAAACGAUCAGUGAGGAAUUGAUACUUGUAAACAUUUUCAUGAAUGUGUCUUUUCAUUGAAGUUUCUAGCAGAUCACCUUUCCUAAUUCUUCACAGAAUAAUUUUACAUUGAAUUAAUUCUCUUUUUCUACUUAAAACAUCCUUUCAGAAAGUCUUGUAAUGAGUAUUGUAAGAGAAGGGUGUCAAUGAGCUAAUUUUAGAGUGUUUUUUUUUUAAUGAAUUGUGAAGUAUAAUGUUUUAGAUAGAAUUCAGAAUAUAAAAGCAGUAAUUUGUAGAUUUGGGGAAAAACUCAAUUCUUCCACAACUACAGGCUUGUGACUGAUUUUUUUUUUUUUUACUUCAGUUGCUUAAGAAACAUAUCUGUAGAUCACUAAUUUAAAGCAAAUUUAGAAGUUGUUGAAUAUUAAUUUAGUAUAUUACUCUUUCUGGAUAAUAAAUGGAUUUUGUCAAGCAGAACACUUCUUUGUUUUUAUUGUUAAUUUUGAGUUUGGGCAAAUAAAGUGAUUAUAUUUUUCAAAGAUUAAUUUUGUUGGUCUCUGUGAGGCCAUUAUAUUGAAAGUGUAAUUUUAAUAUGUCUAAUAUUAUUAAAAUUAUCAAUGUCUGUUAUUAUAUUUAAAACAUGUUUAAUUAAUCAAUUGCUUAUUAUGUUCUGGAAUCUAAUUAAAAGCUGAACACAUGCAUAGAGUUUGGGAUGAAGAGUAAUGUGUGAAGAUAAGAAUGAUAGCUCAGAUAUUUGUCAACUUCUGUUAAUGUUCCAACACAUAUUAGAAAAUCUGUCAUAGAUAAUCAGCUGUACUGUUGGCUAUACUGAUUAUUGCUUAGAUAAUCAACUGUGCUGUUAAAGUAUGAAAACAACCAUAGGCAAAAAACAGUGUGACUCUGCCUCUGUCUUUAUUGACUCAGAGACUAUAGAGAAAUGAAAGGAAUGUAGACUCUGGACUUGACUUGAUACAGACAGAAAUUUAAUUCAAGCCACAUGAUUUCUGCCUUUAGCAUCUGCAGGAGGUAACUUGAUAUCUUUGAGUCUCCUCCCCUUUUUCACAUACACAUAGUUCAUAAAAAUGCAACUGCUUUGUAAAGUUACUAAAGUUAUGUAGUUAAGGUAGUAACUGAGUGCACUUUCAUAUUUAGGAAACUUGAAUCUUGUCAGAGAAGUUGUUCAAUCUAUCUGUUACUCAGUCAACCUAAUUUCUUACUUUUUAUCCAAGAUAUGAAACUAUUAUUAAUACCUAACCUGAAGGAUUAGAAAUAAUCUGGACUUUGGACAUAGCUCCCGUGGCACAGUGCUUGUCUGCCAGCAUGCAGCCCUGGGUUCUAUUCCCGUACCAGAAAAACAAAAGAUUAAAAAUAAAAGGUUAGAAGUAAUC
rnacentral:lncRNA from 1 species